rnacentral:lncRNA from 1 species
CUGGAUAUUCAAAUAAAUGUGAUCAAAUUUACAGAAAAGUUGACCCAUGUUACAAAUUUUAAUAAACAAUUUACAUUAUCAUCAGUAAAAAAUGAUGUUUUGAGAGGAGUGAAUGAGGGUCCAGGAGACCCCCAAAGUGCAGGAUUUUGCACCAUUUUUUCAAAAUUUUCUGGGGCCCUUGAGCGGGCCCCAUACCCCCGGCCGUAGCACGACGAGCAAGCUCGUCGCCGCGAACGGCUUUGCCGUCCGCAUUACAUCCCCUCCUACUUUUUAUAAUUAACCUGCUACUUAACAUCUUAGAGACAACCCUGAGU